CGCUGGCGGCGCGUUUAAGCAUGCAAGUCGAGCGGCAGGGGGCUUCGGCCCCGAGAGCGGCGGACGGGUGAGUAACACGUGGACAACCUGCCCCCCGGUUCGGGAUAGCCCAGGGAAACCUGGAUCAAUACCGGAUGCGAGGGCGGCCGCACAAGCGGCCGUCGGGAAAGGCGCUUCGGCGCCGCCGGGGGAUGGGUCCGCGUCCCAUUAGCUAGACGGUGGGGUAACGGCCCACCGUGGCGAUGAUGGGUAGCCGGCCUGAGAGGGUGGACGGCCACAUUGGAACUGAGACACGGUCCAGACUCCUACGGGAGGCAGCAGCUAAGAAUCUUCCGCAAUGGGCGAAAGCCUGACGGAGCCGACGCCGCGUGAACGAAGAAGGCCGUGAGGUUGUAAAGUUCUUUUCGGGAGGGGGAACAACCGUGGCAGGGAAUGGCCGCGGGAUGACGUGAAUCCCGGAAUAAGCCCCGGCUAACUACGUGCCAGCAGCGGC
rnacentral:rRNA from 1 species